AGCCUAGGUUGCUGCAAGCAAAUUCAUACUGGACCAAACAGACAAAAAUACCCACAAAUGCUAACAUUGGCUUAACACUCAAAGAUGCAGUCGACCACUGGUAACUGAAACCAUGGAAAGUGAAACCAGACAUGAGAGGUCUGUUGUACAAGAUGAGGCUAAGGAGAGGACU